rnacentral:rRNA from 1 species
CAAAUCGUACCCCAAACCGACACAGGUGGUCAGGUAGAGAAUACCAAGGCGCUUGAGAGAACUCGGGUGAAGGAACUAGGCAAAAUGGUGCCGUAACUUCGGGAGAAGGCACGCUGACACGUAGGUGAAGUGAUUUACUCAUGGAGCUGAAGUCAGUCGAAGAUACCAGCUGGCUGCAACUGUUUAUUAAAAACACAGCACUGUGCAAACACGAAAGUGGACGUAUACGGUGUGACGCCUGCCCGGUGCCGGAAGGUUAAUUGAUGGGGUCAGCGCAAGCGAAGCUCCUGAUCGAAGCCCCGGUAAACGGCGGCCGUAACUAUAACGGUCCUAAGGUAGCGAAAUUCCUUGUCGGGUAAGUUCCGACCUGCACGAAUGGCGUAAUGAUGGCCAGGCUGUCUCCACCCGAGACUCAGUGAAAUUGAACUCGCUGUGAAGAUGCAGUGUACCCGCGGCAAGACGGAAAGACCCCGUGAACCUUUACUAUAGCUUGACACUGAACAUUGAGCCUUGAUGUGUAGGAUAGGUGGGAGGCUUUGAAGUGUGGACGCCAGUCUGCAUGGAGCCGACCUUGAAAUACCACCCUUUAAUGUUUGAUGUUCUAACGUGGACCCGUUACCCGGGUUGCGGACAGUGUCUGGUGGGUAGUUUGACUGGGGCGGUCUCCUCCUAAAGAGUAACGGAGGAGCACGAAGGUUGGCUAAUCCUGGUCGGACAUCAGGAGGUUAGUGCAAUGGCAUAAGCCAGCUUGACUGCGAGCGUGACGGCGCGAGCAGGUGCGAAAGCAGGUCAUAGUGAUCCGGUGGUUCUGAAUGGAAGGGCCAUCGCUCAACGGAUAAAAGGUACUCCGGGGAUAACAGGCUGAUACCGCCCAAGAGUUCAUAUCGACGGCGGUGUUUGGCACCUCGAUGUCGGCUCAUCACAUCCUGGGGCUGAAGUAGGUCCCAAGGGUAUGGCUGUUCGCCAUUUAAAGUGGUACGCGAGCUGGGUUUAGAACGUCGUGAGACAGUUCGGUCCCUAUCUGCCGUGGGCGCUGGAGAACUGAGGGGGGCUGCUCCUAGUACGAGAGGACCGGAGUGGACGCAUCACUGGUGUUCGGGUUGUCAUGCCAAUGGCACUGCCCGGUAGCUAAAUGCGGAAGAGAUAAGUGCUGAAAGCAUCUAAGCACGAAACUUGCCCCGAGAUGAGUUCUCCCUGAGACUUAGAGUCUCCUGAAGGAACGUUGAAGACGACGACGUUGAUAGGCCGGGUGUGUAAGCGCAGCGAUGCGUUGAGCUAACCGGUACUAAUGAACCGUGAGGCUUAACCUUACAACGCCGAAG